AUGUAUGGUGACAGACACACAUGCAAGUACAUUAAGGGCGUGCAUGAGUUUCUCGAUGCGGCUGAGGCAAACAAGCAGAAUGGUUUCAUGUGUUGUCCAUGCACUGACUGUGGGAAUACGAGGUCUUACUCUAACCGGAAAAUCCUUCACUCCCACCUGCUUUACAAGGGUUUCAUGCCACACUAUAAUGUUUGGACGAGGCAUGGAGAAAUAGGGGUUAUGAUGGAAGACGGCGAAGAAGAAGAGUACGAUGACAACUAUGUGCCCCCUGAAUACGGUGAUGCUGCAACGGGGGGAGCUGGUGAAGAUCAAGAGGAACCAGACGAUGUGCCCAAUGAUGCUGCAACGGGUGAAGCUGCUGAAGAUCAAGAGAAACCAGACGAUGUGCCCGAUGAUGAUGAUCUCCGCCGGGUCAUUGUCGAUGCAAGGACGCAAUGCGAAAGUCAAAAGGAGAAGCUGUAG
rnacentral:rRNA from 1 species